rnacentral:rRNA from 1 species
UGGGCGCAAGCCUGAUCCAGCAAUGCCGCGCGCAGGAUGAAGGCCUUCGGGUUGUAAACUGCUUUUGUACGGAACGAAAAGGAUCUUUUUAAUAAAGAGGGCUCAUGACUGUACCGUAAGAAUAAGCUCCGGCUAACUACGUGCCAGCAGCCGCGGUAAUACGUAGGGUGCGAGCGAUAAUCGGAAUUACUGGGCGUAAAGAGUGCGCAGGCGGUUUUGUAAGACAGAUGUGAAAUCCCCGGGCUCAACCUGGGACCUGCAUUUGUGACUGCAAGGCUAAAGUACGGUAGAGGGGGAUGGAAUACCGCGUGUAGSAGUGAAAUGCGUAGAUAUGCGGAGGAACACCGAUGGCGAAGGCAAUCCCCAGGACCUGUACUGACGCUCAUGCACGAAAGCGUGGGGAGCAAACAGGAUUAGAUACCCUGGUAGUCCACGCCCUAAACGAUGUCAACUGGUUGUUGGGUCUUUACUGACUCAGUAACGAAGCUAACGCGUGAUGUUGACCGCCUGGGGAGUACGGCCGNCAGGUUG